CAUGAUUUGAGGGUUAUUGAAGAUUCAUUCUACAUGAGGUAAAGGUUUUCCUAAUGGUUCAUUUCUCUCUUGCAUGGAAGGCAUUUGCGCCUUUGGUUUUGCUAUUUUCCUAGUUAAUUAGAUUUUCUGUGGAAAUGAAUGAUUGGGUGUAAAUUGGGAUACUGACACUUGCUUAGUGUGUAAUUGGGAUNGCAGAACACCAGGCGUUGCAACCCCCUUCUUAAAAAAAUUCAUUUUUUAGAAACAUGGGCACUGAAGUGCCAAAAGAUUAAACUUUUUUUUGUUUUUUUGUUUUGUUUUGUGUUUUUUAUUAUUUUUGUUUUUCGGUUUAUUCAUUUUUAUUUAUUUUCCAUUCUUUUAACUUACCAUUUUUAUUCCUCCUUCCAUCCGCAAAAUGUUUGCAUUUUCCCUCUCCCUUAUUUUUCCCACUUUCCAUGUUCCUCAUACUUCGCACAUUAUCACUUGUUCACUAUUUUUUUUCCUCCCAUUUUAACAUUGUUACCCUCUCAUUUUCCUCAUAUUUUGCACAUGAUUUGAGGGUUAUUGAAGAUUCAUUCCACAUGAGGUAAAGGUUUUCCUAAUGGUUCAUUUCUCUCUUGCAUGGAAGGCAUUUGCGCCUUUGAUUUUGUUAUUUUCCUAGUUAAUUAGAUUUUCUGUGGAAAUGAAUGAUUGGGUGUAAAAUGGGGUACUGGCACUUGCUUAGUGUGUAAUUGGGAUUGGUGCCUACAAGGUGUUUGACAUAUUUCCUAGGUGAGUUUUUGGGAAGUAUUUUGUAAGUUGGUUUUGGUUUGGGUGUUGAUUGUUAGUGCCACUUGCAGCAGUGAACAUUUUAAGUUUGAAAUUGGUGGUUAGACUUUUGGGGGUCUUUGCUAUUAUUGUGAGUUGGAAUUGGGCUAAGCAGACAUGCCGCCUAAGAAGAAAUCUAAAGUCACAGAUCUACAUUUGAUCGGAGGCGUUUGGUGAGUUUUGUUGCGGAGGGACGCUAUAGAUAUAUGGUAAUAUACUGAAACUGCAUUCCAGAGAAGGGUUUUGAAAAACUAUUACUCGAGAAAAUAUAGAGUUUGGGGGUGCGAAAGGUCUGCUUUGCAACCGGUUACCGCCUCAAUUCCUUUAGUGAAAGAAUUUUAUGCUAAUGCCAAGGAACACGUAAAUUUCAAAGUUUUUAUGUGGGGUUUUGGAUCAAGUUUUACAGUGUAUCCAUCAAUGGAUUCUACAAUACGCGAGAUAUCCCCGAUGAUGACUACAGAUUACAUGAAGAGGGAGAUGAUCUCGACAAUUUGAUUUGCACAUUGACUCGCGAAUGUACUGAAUGAAAACGAUUUGCUAGGGGUACGACUAACUUCUUCGCUUCUAGAUUGAAGAUUAAUUGUAAGGUUUGGCAUCACUUUAUUGUCAAACUAGUUCCAUGCAAUAACAUCAACGAGGUAAUAUAGGAACAGGCUCUCUUGAGUUAUGCCAUUCAACGUGGUCUAUCUAUUGAUAUUGGAAAGGUUAUCCAGAACAGUAUUUUAUGCGUCCUAGUAGGUUCAGCCACAAGAAAAUUGGGACAUCCCUCCUUAAUCAUGAUCUCUGUAUAUAGUGGGGUGUUUCAACAAGCGAAUCUUAUGAAGUUUUAUAUCUUAAGCCGCCACGCACACAAGACCUUCAAGAUAUGCUCUCGAUGUAUCAAGAUAGGCCAAGCUCAUCUCAAUCCUCUCAACUAGAACCACUUCCUCCCCCACCUCCUUAGACAGGUGAUGUUACAUGAGACAUACUUAGGCGACUAUGACCUAUUGGCAAGACGGGAUGUAGGUACAACUGGAGCAAUUACAAACCUCUAUCUAUGACCAAUUUCAGUAUCAUAAUGCUUGCAUGGUAGUCAUGACCUCGCUCAUCCUGAACUCACAUUUCCUCCACUACUGCUACUAUUGUCCUACUCCUACCCUUCAGCUCCAUCGGAUGGUGAUGAGGACGGUUAAUGUCCUCACUGAGGUAUUUAUCCUUUCUUUUUUCCUUUCACAUUGGGGACAAUGUGUUAUUUAAGAUUGGG
rnacentral:lncRNA from 1 species